CCAGGAUGUAAUAUGAUGGUCACUCACUGCUGGUUCCUUCUUCAGUCAAUAAAAGCCGAUAUCUCGCCUUACAUCUCAGUUGGCAAAAAUCAUAUCAUCUGCUUUAUGGAUGAAAUCCUCAUUUCAGAUCUUAAAACAACAGAGCAUCUGCCAACUCUGGCGAAGGUCAUGUCCAGAAUGCAGUGACAUGGAAUUAAAUGCUAAUAUCUGUGAAGAUCAGUGGAACAUCCAAGCCACUGAACUGAUGCACAGUCACACAGCUACUCGUCUUCUACAACGUCAGGGUGACUACUUCCCUGUGACUCUGAUUGAUAUUCAUCUUACUCUUCCGUAUAAGCUGCUGCUCCAGGUUCCCGCCACAGUCUUCAAGGAGC